AUUGAACGCUGGCGGCAGGCUUAACACAUGCAAGUCGAGCGGGGGAAGGUAGCUUGCUACCGGACCUAGCGGCGGACGGGUGAGUAAUGCUUAGGAAUCUGCCUAUUAGUGGGGGACAACAUCUCGAAAGGGAUGCUAAUACCGCAUACGUCCUACGGGAGAAAGCAGGGGAUCUUCGGACCUUGCGCUAAUAGAUGAGCCUAGGUCGGAGUAGCUAGUUGGUGGGGAAAAGGCCUACCAAGGCGACGAUCUGUAGCGGGUCUGAGAGGAGGAUCCGCCACACUGGGACUGAGACACGGCCCAGACUCCUACGGGAGGCAGCAGUGGGGAAUAUUGGACAAUGGGGGGGACCCUGAUCCAGCCAUGCCGCGUGUGUGAAGAAGGCCUUAUGGUUGUAAAGCACUUUAAGCGAGGAGGAGGCUACUUUAGUUAAUACCUAGAGAUAGUGGACGUUACUCGCAGAAGAAGCACCGGCUAACUCUGUGCCAGCCGCCGCCGUAA
rnacentral:rRNA from 1 species